rnacentral:rRNA from 1 species
GACAGAGGGUGCAAACGUUUGUUCGGAAUUACUGGGCGUAAAGCGCGUGUAGGCGGUGCGGUAAGUCGGGUGUGAAAGCCCUGGGCUCAACCCAGGAAGUGCAUUCGAUACUACCGUACUAGAGUCCCGGAGAGGUUGGUGGAACUCUCGGUGUAGAGGUGAAAUUCGUAGAUAUCGAGAAGAACACCGGUGGCGAAGGCGGCCAACUGGACGGUGACUGACGCUGAGACGCGAAAGCGUGGGGAGCAAACAGG